AUUGAACGCUGGCGGCAUGCUUUACACAUGCAAGUCGAACGGUAACAGGUCUUCGGAUGCUGACGAGUGGCGAACGGGUGAGUAAUGUAUCGGAACGUGCCCAGUAGUGGGGGAUAACUACUCGAAAGAGUGGCUAAUACCGCAUGAGAACUGAGGUUGAAAGCGGGGGACCUUCGGGCCUCGCGCUACUGGAGCGGCCGAUAUCAGAUUAGGUAGUUGGUGGGGUAAACGGCCUACCAAGCCGACGAUCUGUAGCUGGUCUGAGAGGACGACCAGCCACACUGGGACUGAGACACGGCCCAGACUCCUACGGAGGCAGCAGUGGGGAAUUUUGGACAAUGGACGCAAGUCUGAUCCAGCAAUGCCGCGUGCAGGACGAAGGCCUU
rnacentral:rRNA from 1 species